rnacentral:rRNA from 1 species
UAAUACGGAGGGGGCUAGCGUUGUUCGGAAUUACUGGGCGUAAAGCGCGCGUAGGUGGUUUGUCAAGUUGGGGGUGAAAUCCCGGGGCUCAACUCCGGAACUGCCCUCAAAACUGGUAGGCUAGAGUGUGGGAGAGGAGAGCGGAAUUCCCAGUGUAGAGGUGGAAUUCGUAGAUAUUGGGAAGAACACCAGUGGCGAAGGCGGCUUUCUGGACCACAACUGACGCUGAGGCGCGAAAGCGUGGGUAGCAAACAGGAUUAGAUACCCUGGUAGUCCACGCCGUAAACGAUGAGUGCUAGACGUUGGGGGGCUUGCCCUUCAGUGUCGGAGCUAACGCAUUAAGCACUCCGCCUGGGGAGUACGGCCGCAAGGUUA